rnacentral:rRNA from 1 species
CAGUGGCUGUCGUCAGCUCGUGUCGUGAGAUGGUUAGGGUUAACGUCCCGUAACGAGCGCAACCCUUGCCUUUAGUUGCCAGCAGUUCGGCUGGGCACUCUAAAGGGACUGCCGGUGUUAAACCGGAGGAAGGUGGGGAUGACGUCAAGUCCUCAUGGCCUUUAUGACCAGGGCUACACACGUACUACAAUGGCCGAUACAAAGGGCAGCGACACUGCGAGGUGAAGCCAAUCCCGUAAAAUCGGUCUCAGUCCGGAUUGGAGUCUGCAACUCGACUCCAUGAAGUUGGAAUCGCUAGUAAUCGUGGAUCAGCAUGCCACGGUGAAUACGUUCCCGGGCCUU